rnacentral:rRNA from 1 species
GGUUAAGGCUCCCAGUAGACGACUGGGUUGAUAGGCCAGAUGUGGAAGCCCGGUAACGGGUGGAGCUGACUGGUACUAAUAGGCCGAGGGCUUGUCCU